UCUUAUCCAAUGGUGAGAAUAUCAAGAGCUUUUCUCUCUAUCUCUCCCAUCUCUCACAAUCUCCGUCUCUCUCAACCUCUGUAUCUCUCAAUCCCAGCCGCCAUGUCUCUCCAUCUCUCUCAAUCGCCAUCCCUCGUAACCUCUGUGUCUCCAAAGAGAAGAAGUAGUGGAGUCGGAGCUGUGCCGGAGUCGGAGCGGGACUAGCUAUGCCGGAUUCUGCAGGCGGAGGAAGACGGUGGGACGAUGACAUGGGAAAGAGAAGUGAUGGAGAAUGGAUGAGGACAGAAGAUGGUGUAGCUAACAGCGUGGUUUUAAGCGUCGAUGUGAAGGAGUUCGUGAUGGUGGUUGAUAGAUCCGGUGAAGGAGGUGGCUGGUGUAAACAUACACACGAGGCUGAGGCGGAGAGGUGGAGGCACGAUGAGUUAGGUUUCUUUUUUAGGUUUAGCUUUUUAGGUUUACUUUUUUGGUUUACACUUAAACCAAUUUUGAUUUAUUUUUAUAUGUGAACCAGUUUUAAUUUAUGAAUAAUUUGUAAUUCAAUUUCGUUUAUAAUUUAAUUUUAAUAUAAAAAUCAGUUUUAAUUAAAA